UACGAAGGGGGCUAGCGUUGCUCGGAAUCACUGGGCGUAAAGGGUGCGUAGGCGGGUUUUUAAGUCAGGGGUGAAAUCCUGGAGCUCAACUCCAGAACUGCCUUUGAUACUGAAGAUCUUGAGUCCGGGAGAGGUGAGUGGAACUGCGAGUGUAGAGGUGAAAUUCGUAGAUAUUCGCAAGAACACCAGUGGCGAAGGCGGCUCACUGGCCCGGUACUGACGCUGAGGCACAAAAGCGUGGGGAGCAUACGAG
rnacentral:rRNA from 1 species